rnacentral:rRNA from 1 species
GACGAACGCUGGCGGCGUGCUUAACACAUGCAAGUCGAGCGGUAAGGCCCUUUCGGGGGUACACGAGCGGCGAACGGUGAGUAACACGUGGGUGACCUGCCCUCAGCUCUGGGAUAAGCCUGGGAAACCGGGUCUAAUACCGGAUAUGACUCCAUGACGCAUGUUGUGGGGUGGAAAGCCUUGUGCGGCUGAGGAUGGGCCCGCGGCCUAUCAGCUUGUUGGUGGGGUGAUGGCCUACCAAGGCGACGACGGUAGCCGGCCUGAGAGGGCGACCGGCCACACUGGGACUGAGACACGGCCCAGACUCCUACGGGAGGCAGCAGGUGGGGAAUCUUGCGCAAUGGGCGAAAGCCUGACGCAGCGACGCCGCGUGAGGGAUGACGGCCUGGU